UACGAAGGGUGCAAGCGUUACUCGGAAUUACUGGGCGUAAAGCGCGCGUAGGCGGCUUUGUAAGUCAGAGGUGAAAGCCUGGAGCUCAACUCCAGAACUGCCUUUGAAACUGCAUCGCUAGAAUCAUGGAGAGGUAAGUGGAAUUCCGAGUGUAGAGGUGAAAUUCGUAGAUAUUCGGAAGAACACCAGUGGCGAAGGCGACUUACUGGACAUGUAUUGACGCUGAGGUGCGAAAGCGUGGGGAGCAAACAGG
rnacentral:rRNA from 1 species